ensembl:lncRNA
ACUCUAACUGCCAGAAUCCCCCAGUCAGCACAGGGGAUUCUGGGCCUUAGCCCCCGCCCCCACCUGCACUCAUCAUUUUCCAUGGUAUCAGCACUGGUGGCAUCUUCUUCCUCCUCCCUCAAAGUGGCCAGCAAAAUGGUGGCAGUCUGGCAGCAGAAGGCCUUGCCUGAUGCAUUCUGGGAAGCUGCCGGAUUGCCAUGCAGGAAGUAAGAAAUACAAUGGGAUGUUGAAACCAAAGAAAAAGCCUUCUGAACUGCACACCUGGAUCUCUUUCUAUGAGCAACUGUUGCCAUUUUUUUCUGGUUCUGGUAUUUCAUUUUGAUCCACCUCAAACACAAACACAAAUAUUCAUACAAAGUUUUGUUCUAUAAUGUUGUACUGUGGCCUUUUCCUUAACUUAUAUUUGUCUGUUAGCAGUUUGUUGCUAUAAUUUCAUUUAUUUUAAGCUUCUUUGUCACUGUAUAUAUGUUAUUUCACUUUGGCUGGCAUUCUGCUACAUAUUCGUAAUUCCACCAGUGUAACUCUAUUAGCAUAACUUUCAGUUCAGACCUCUCCAGGAAUGGGCGCAUAACUUUCAGUUCAGACCUCUCCAGGAAGGGGCGUAGCUGGUGCACUAGUUUUAACUGUGCGAAGGCACUCCUGGCCACUGCCAUCACCUGGAACUCUAUUAGCAUAACUUUCAGUUCAGACCUCUCCAGGAAGGGGCGUAGCUGGUGCACUAGUUUUAACUGUGCGAAGGCACUCCUGGCCACUGCCAUAACCUGAACAUCCAGGUUCAAAUAUGAAUCUAGGAGCACCACUAAGCAGUGAGCCUGUGUUUUCAGAGGAGGUGCAACCCUAUCCAGCACAAGCUGCAUCCCGAUUCCUUGAUCUGCCUUUUGACAGACCAGAAGCAUCUCUGUCUUGUUUGGAUUAAGUUUCAGUUUAUUUACCCUCAACCAGUUCAUUACUGAGAACAUACCCUGAUCUAGAGCCAAAACAGCUUCCUCAGAUUUAGAAGGCAGGGAGAGAUAGAGUUGGGUGUCAUCCAUGCACUCGGGACACCAAACCGCAAAAUCCCGAUUCCUUGAUCUGCCUUUUGACAGACCAGAAGCAUCUCUGUCUUGUUUGGAUUAAGUUUCAGUUUAUUUACCCUCAACCAGUUCAUUACUGAGAACAUACCCUGAUCUAGAGCCAAAACAGCUUCCUCAGAUUUAGAAGGCAGGGAGAGAUAGAGUUGGGUGUCAUCCAUGCACUCGGGACACCAAACCGCAAAAUUCUCCCAGCAGAUAGAGUUGGGUGUCAUCCAUGUACUGGGGACACCAAACCCCAAAAUUCUCCCAGCAGUUUCAGGUAGAUAUUAAAUAACAUAGGAAACAAAACAGAACCCUGAGGGACCCUGCAGAUAAGGGGUCUUCAUCACAUACCUCAUGUCUUCUUAUUGAGAUUUAUGCUGAUGGAAUUAUACCUAUAGGCAUAACUAACAGGUUUCUGACCAUCAUAUCUCAACUAACAUCACGGCUUGUUUCCAGUUAGAUACAUGCAUGUGACCUGCCAGUAAAAGACUUCUCCAUUCUUCUUCAUAUGGCAGACUCUAUAAUCCCCAGGUGCUGCACAGGUCGGGAAACCCUGCUGAUGUGAGUGACAUGUGAUGAGGGGAGAAGGGAUCCUUUUAAACCAGAAGGCAGCGCUUCCUUGUGUGUGAAGCUCUGCCAUUCAUGGAAAGAAGAUGCUGGAUGCAAGCCAGCAGGUUGCACUGUUUAAAAAAAGCCAAUAGGCUGGGCCUGCAUACAUUUACUAACUGGAAAAUCCUCGUCCACAUACAGUAGUUGGGUUAUGCAUAAUGCAAGGCAAACACACAUUACUGCAUUCUUUCUCCUUGGGGUAGGGGAGAGUAGAAUUGCAGAAGGCAGCUAGGACUCUCAAAUGGUUUGCUUUUGCACAAUCCAACUAUAGUCCAACUAUAGACUUUUCACCAGUUCCAGAGAUGGACAUGGGUACCCACAAGCAUCUUCCUCUUGGAUUUCUUCCCCUAUAUUGAGAACUGGCAGUGGCAGUGUUAUCUCAGACACACUUCAAGCCCACCUGAACCUCACUACUUUCAUUCAGACACAACUAGUUCAUGUGUGGGCGUGGAUCAAAGCAAUGAUGUCAAGCUGUGUCAUUUCCAUUCUAACAUUUACAGUAUCUUUUUUCUGUCCUUCCCUCUCAUUUUCCCCUAGCCUCUCCCCAAGCUUUGAUCUCACAUAAUGCUCUUCAGACGUGCUGUUUACAGUUAAAUGUCUCAUCAUUUAUCAAUAAAUAAGUAAACUGUUGUUGCCA